GCUUUUGCACAGAGGCGGUAUCGUAGCCAAUGACGUUUAUCCAAGGCACGAUUAUUACUAAUUGAAACUAGCUAUGCUUAUUU
rnacentral:snRNA from 1 species